AGAAUCUUUCGCAAUGCCCGAAAGGGUGACGAAGCGACGCCGCGUGUGGGAAGAAGGCCUUCGGGUUGUAAACCACUGUCGGGAGUUAAGAAAUGUAAGGAUGUUAAUAGCGUCCUUACUUGACUAAGGCUCCGGAGGAAGCCACGGCUAACUCUGUGCCAGCAGCCGCGGUAAUACAGAGGCGGCAAGCGUUGUUCGGAAUUAUUGGGCGUAAAGAGCACGUAGGCGGCCUUGAAAGUCAGUUGUGAAAGCCUUCUGCUUAACGGAAGAACAGCAUCUGAUACUACAGGGCUUGAGUGCGGGAGGGGAGAGUGGAACUUCUGGUGGAGCGGUGAAAUGCGUAGAUAUCAGAAGGAACGUCGGCGGCGAAAGCGGCUCUCUGGCUCGUAACUGACGCUGAGUGUGCGAAAGCUAGGGGAUCAAACGGGAUUAGAUACCCCGGUAGUCCUAGCCGUAAACGAUGGGCACUAAGUAGAGGGGUUUUGAUUAUCUCUCUGCCGGAGCUAACGCAUUAAGUGCCCCGCCUGGGAAGUACGGCCGCAAGGCUAAAACUCAAAAGAAUUGACGGGGGCUCGCACAAGCGGUGGAGCAUGUGGCUUAAUUCGACGCAACGCGAAGAACCUUACCGGGGUUUGACAUGGUAGAAGUAGGAACCAGAAACGGUAACGAACGGUAUCCAGUCCGUAACUAUCACAGGUGUUGCAUGGCUG
rnacentral:rRNA from 1 species